rnacentral:rRNA from 1 species
UACGGAGGGGGCUAGCGUUGUUCGGAAUUACUGGGCGUAAAGCGCGCGUAGGCGGUGAUCUUUGUCAGAGGUGAAAGCCUGGGGCUCAACUCCAGAAUUGCCUUUGAAACGGGAUCGCUUGAGUCCGAGAGAGGAUGGCGGAAUUCCUAGUGUAGAGGUGAAAUUCGUAGAUAUUAGGAAGAACACCGGUGGCGAAGGCGGCCAUCUGGCUCGGUACUGACGCUCAGGCGCGAAAGCGUGGGGAGCAAACAGG